GUCAGUAAUCAGUAAUCAUGAUAAUGGUCGUAGUUGAUCAAGUGUUGUUACAUUUUCUACCAUUGGCAUUGGACGGAUGUUAGCAUGCUUCCAGACACUUGGAACUUGUUGUUUAGCAAUGGAGAGGUUUGAAAACAUGGGUAAUCAUUGCAUUGCAUGGUGCUAGUUCUGGCAAGUAUUCCUUCCAAAACCAAUAGGGCGACCCAUCAGGACUUGAGACUGUUCGUUUGGUCUUAGACAAUGCAGAGAAUACAUCAGCUUCAUCAAGAGUAGGAGGACUGCAACCAUCUGGGAUGUCAAUGAAAGUAUACGUAGUUUCUUUGUAAUCAGCAACAGUGUUUAUAGAUUGAAAAUGUUUGUUCAUGCCAUUAACAUCUAAGCGAAAUGAUAAACACACUUCAGAUCCCAUUCUUUCUGUCAGCUUAUUCACUAGUUACCACCAUUCCUUACUUCCCUUGCCAUGUUUGCUUUUCUUCGCACGCAUCCUGUUCACCUGGUUCUCCACAAUUAGCUGAGUGAUCCUUGGCUGUAAACUGUUAGAUUCGGAUUACAUUCCCUUUCUUCUAAACUUGUUCCUUUCAGCAGCAAUUUUAACAAUGGAGACAUAAAGGGUGGGUCUUUUGAUGAGGUUGUCACAAUCUUAGUAGCCAAAGCUCUCGGUAAAUGCAUGUUAUGAUAUUAUAGAAGUUAGAAGUGGUAACGUUAAUAUCUUGUUCGUAUACGUAUUCGUAUAUAUCUAAACUACAAGGGUUCUUGCAUGCUUAAACUUCUUAUUACAAACUACAAAAAUGCAGUGGCAUGGCUCCUUUCUUAAAUUUUAACAACGAUGCUUAAUCUUUUGUUGUUGAUAUCAUUACUAGCCUAUUCUCUCCUCACUGGCAAGUCAAAUUUAAUUCAGUUAAUCGAGAGUAGGAGUACUGAGGUUACUUAAUUAGAUUCUGAUAAUCUUCAAACACUGAUGAAUCCCUGCAUGUAAAUACUAGGUACUGAAUGUUGUUGUACCAUCCUAGCUCUCUCGUUUAGAAUCUAUAUAAAUCAUGGAGCACCUUCAACGGGCUGGCUAUACAUUGCGUGGACACCUGGUGCAAACAGAAACAUGUCCAAAUUGUAACGACAUGGAGAUUUUCACUGUUUUUGGUACAUUACGUCGGCACAUGGUCAGGCAGCCAGAAACAUGUCCAAAUGACGAUCAGCAAAGAAUCGACGCAGUACGUGCUGUUGACAAUAAUCUAAAUGAUUAUAUUAGGGACGAGUUGUAAUCGUAAGAGUCAGACCGCACCAAGCCUGAAGUCAUUGAAUUGUUAUGUACAAGUUCCAAAAUGCGACCAACGUUUUUGUAGAAACUUUCGGGUCGCAGCAUUUUACUUUCUUUAAUAGAAACAAAUAGUUAUAAAAAUAUAUUGUCUUACUAUUCUCCUGAGCUAGCCAAUACAAAUUUCGAUAAAAAAGAAAAUUCGCGUGU